GCAGCACAGUGCAGAAAAUAUCUCGUCAGUAUUAACAAAGGAUUCUGGAAAAUAGACGGCCUAUCUUAAUACAAGAAUCAGUGGUUGCUUUACGGUUCGAACCCUAUUGGUGUAGACAACCUCCAUUAAUGCAAGUAUUAGUGGUUGCUUCCACGACUCGAACGCAAGUAUUAGUAGUUGCUUCCACGGCUCGAAUCGAUGAUCUAUAGGUACAUAGAGAUAGCUUUAAUGCUGCUUCAACGCUCCCCUUCGAAAAACUGAUUCGAGAUUGGGGAGUUAAAAUUAGCAAAAUGGUAAGAAAAUUAAUGAUGAGAAGAGACUACCGAGCAAAGUUCAAUGGAGCCAUCAUCAAGUAAUUCUUCAAUUAUUUGUUCAAUGUGGUCUUCUUCAAGUGUAUUAAUAAACUGUGGUGUGUGCUCUACAGCUUCA
rnacentral:lncRNA from 1 species